rnacentral:rRNA from 1 species
GACGAACGCUGGCGGCGCGCUUAACACAUGCAAGUCGAGCGAUGAAAUCUUAACAGAACCCUUCGGGGCGAAGAUAAGAGGGAUUAGCGGCGGACGGGUGAGUAACACGUGAGUAACCUGCCUUUUACACAGGGAUAGCCUCGGGAAACCGGGAUUAAAACCUGAUGAAACUAUCAAAUCACAUGAUUAAGAAAGUUAAAACUCCGGUGGUAAAAGAUGGACUCGCGUCCCAUUAGCUAGUUGGUGAAGGUAACGGCCCACCAAGGCAACGAUGGGUAGCCGGCCUGAGAGGGUGAACGGCCACAUUGGAACUGAGAAACGGUCCAAACUCCUACGGGAGGCAGCAGUGGGGAAUACUGCACAAUGGGGGAAACCCUGAUGCAGCGACGCCGCGUGAGCGAAGAAGGCCUUCGGGUCGUAAAGCUCUUUUAUAUGGGAAGAUAAUGACGGUACCAUAAGAAAAAGCCCCGGCUAACUACGUGCCAGCAGCCGCGGUAAUACGUAGGGGGCUAGCGUUGUCCGGAAUCACUGGGCGUAAAGGGUUCGCAGGCGGCAAUGCAAGUCAGAUGUAAAAGGCAAAGGCUCAACCUUUGUAAGCAUCUGAAACUGUAUAGCUUGAGAAGUGUAGAGGUAAGUGGAAUUUUUAGUGUAGCGGUGAAAUGCGUAGAUAUUAAAAAGAAUACCGGUGGCGAAGGCGACUUGCUGGGCACAAUCUGACGCUGAGGAACGAAAGCGUGGGGAGCAAACAGG